rnacentral:lncRNA from 1 species
UCCAGGGCAGUCUAAAUCUAGAACAAUAUACGAGAAAGGGGUUGACCUUCCAAAUAAUCUGGUCCUUUCAAAAUCUGCCUCCAGUAUACAAGAGUUUGAAGAGCAACCUCAGCCUGGAAAUGUAGACAAGAAAGUUUCUGAUGAUUCUUACAGUCCGGACAUUUCAACAUCUCCCACAAAGAAGCAUACACUAAAAGGUCAGCCUAAGUCUGAAAACUCUGACGAAAAAGGUAUCAAACGUCCAAAUAAUCUGCACAUGUCUGCCUCUGUUGCAAGGAAGCGCCUCCUUAAAGCAUUAAGUACUAUUCCAUGAAAGCUUACUGGACUUCUACACUUGAAAGAAUCCUAGUGGUAAGCAGCAUGAAGAUAUUCAUGGACGCAGUGAGGCAAAUCGCAAUAGGAACCAAUGUGUGGGAAGCCAUAUGAGUGGAUGGUAUUUAUAGAACAGAGUGGUGUGGAAGGUCCCUGAUGAAUAGGGUAGGACCAGAUCAUGAAAGUCCUUCAAAGACAGCAGGUGGGUUCUAUUGUCUCAUGGCUAAUUUUAUCCUCCUAAUUUAAAAAAUAAAAUGUUAUAAUUAUUUUUAAUUCACAAGUGAAGAGUUGGGAAUGAAUAUGGCUCAGUGGUAGAGACCUUAUCUAUCUUGUCCGGCCCUUAAAUAUUGGGAAAAAAAACUUUAGGUCAUAAGAAAGUAUUCACUCAUUCAAAUCAUUAAUGCUUAGACAUUGCACAGUUAACUGCCAAGGGUUUAAAAGAUAUGACUUUUAUCAAUUUAGUGCUUUUGAACAUUUAAAUUUUAAUUAACCACAUUAUUAUUUCCUAGGGGGUAUAAAUACUGGGUGUGAUUAUACUAAAUCUAAUCUGGAUUAUCACUGACAAAGGUAUUAGACUUGCUGACUAUUUUGAGUCUUGAAAGCAUCUAUUUUCCCCCCAAGAGUUAAUGUAUGGCUCAGCAGUUAGAAAUACCUGCUACUCUUGGAAUAGGUCAGAAUUUGAUUCCC